AAAGAAAAAAAUAAAACAAGGUAGUCAAAGUUAAUUUGAAGUAAAAACCUAAAUUAGAGCGGCUUAAAUGAUAUUCCAAAUAAGGUACCAAUAAAUCAGAAAUAUCAAGAUUGUGUGACAACUUUAAAGGUCAAAGUCAAAUAACUAGCUGCUUCAGCGAGCAGAUGACUUUGAAGUAAAAACCUAAAUUAAAGUUUGGCUUAAAAGAUUUUCCAAAUAAGGUACCAAUAAAACAGAAAUAUCAAAAAUGUGCGACAACUUUAAACGUCAAAUAAAAGAACUGCCUGCUUCAAUGAGCAGAUGACUUUCAUGUGAGAACAUUUAAAUAAGGUUGUUGAACAUGAAAAAUUAUCAGAUUCCAUCAAUUUAAACAAGUAGUACCAAUCAUUAAAUGAUUUACUACGAGUUGACAACAAUCUAAACAAGUUGCAUUUUAUGACUAGGAAUUGCAACUGAUAUUUUGUU
rnacentral:lncRNA from 1 species